rnacentral:rRNA from 1 species
GAUGAACGCUGGCGGCGUGCCUAAUACAUGCAAGUCGAGCGAACAGACGAGGAGCUUGCUCCUCUGACGUUAGCGGCGGACGGGUGAGUAACACGUGGAUAACCUACCUAUAAGACUGGGAUAACUUCGGGAAACCGGAGCUAAUACCGGAUAAUAUAUUGAACCGCAUGGUUCAAUAGUGAAAUACGGUUUUGCUGUCACUUAUAGAUGGAUCAGGGCCGCAUUAGCUUGUUGGUGAGGUAACGGCUUACCAAGGCAACGAUUCGUAGCCGACCUGAAAGGGAGGAUGGACAGCCGGGAAGUGAGGAAGAGCACAGACACCUGCAGGGAGACGCAGUAGGGAAUCCUACGGGAUGGGGCAGAGGGUAAUGGAGGAAAGUGGGGUGAGUGAUGAAGGUGCUCGGACGGGUAAACUAUGUUGUUAGGGAAGAACAAAUGUGUAAGUAACUAUGAACGUCUUGACAGUACCUAGUGAGAAAGCCACGGCUAACUACGUG